rnacentral:rRNA from 1 species
UACGAAGGGGGCUAGCGUUGCUCGGAAUCACUGGGCGUAAAGCGCACGUAGGCGGAUUGCUAAGUCAGGGGUGAAAUCCUGGAGCUCAACUCCAGAACUGCCUUUGAUACUGGGCGAUCGUGAGUCCGGGAGAGGUGAGUGGAACUGCGAGUGUAGAGGUGAAAUUCGUAGAUAUUCGCAAGAACACCAGUGGCGAAGGCGGGAUCCUGGGCCAGUACUGACGCUGAGGAGCGAAAGCGUGGGGAGCAA